GCCAAUCAUAGCACAAUUCGCAACACACGCCAAAGGAUAUCCAGCCAAUUGUAGUAAAGGAGGCGGGAUUUGUCAGAUUUGUGUUCGGGGGGUGGAUAGUCUCUAUGGUAACGCCUCAGAUGCACAGCGCCUGAUUUCCAUUAGCUUUAAGUUAAUUAUAAACCACACUGGUUUUUCCCCUGUCACGACAUCUUGUUUUGGUGUUCCUAAUUCUGUUUAUGUCUCGUAACGGUCCUGCUUUAUUCUCCAAAAUCUUAACAUCUGCAGUUUAUUAUGGAAAAGGUGGCAAAAUUCCUAAUGUCAACCCCAUUCCUAACACUACCCCAUAAUGGUUUUAAUGGUUUCUUAAAAGUCCAGUCAUUUUUUUUUUUUACACAUAAGGACAUUUUCAGCUAGUGAUUCAUUAAAUUAUAUCAGUGGAAUAUUCCAAGCAAAGUUUCAGACAAACAAACAAACAAACAAAAAACCCUAAACUAAACAUUGUUUUGUGUGGAAGCAAAAAGACACAAAGAUUUAACACGCAAAGCCAUGUUCUACAGAGGUUGUAACUGGAACCCUUUCUGAAAAGGAACCUGUUGUAGGGUUCUACCUACAACCUUCUAUUACAGGAACAAACCUUUAUGGUGUUGAGGGGCGCUGUGAAUAUUACAGAUUUUUCAUCUUAUUUAGCCAAAUGUAGGGGAAAAAAAAGAGUGUAAUAUGUCAUAAAAAGUUUUAAUUGUUUUAAGUGGUAAACAAAUGCAGAAAAAGAGUGAUGGGUACGGAUUUUUCAAAGGAAUUAAGACAAGAAAAAGGAACAGGCCCUGGACGUUCAGGUAGAAGGCAUUGCAGUAGCUCGGCUCAGUGUUGGGACUCGACUGCGCCUGCUCGGGCUUCUGGGAACUGAAAGGGUUCGGCCCAGUCCCUUUAAUGUCCAUCUCCAACUCCACCAAGAUCUGCACAGAAUACUUCAACUCCCCAUCGCUGAGAGAGAGAAAAUUAAGGAAUUUCUCAGUCAUUACUUCAUGACACGUUUACAAUACAUAUAGUGAAUUUUAGUCAUUAAUUUUCUCCUUACUUGGUCACAGUGAACAAGGUAGGGAUGUUGUAGUCUCUGAGCAGCAGCAGUGUUGGCAACCAUCCAUCUGUCAUUCCCUGCCUGGAAUUAAACUCUACACCCAGAACAUAUCGAAUACAUCAGACCCAAUGCAAAACACUAAACUGCACUAAAGUAGAACACACAUUCUGCAGACCCUCAGAAGGUCUUGUCUAGGCUUUAAUUGUUUAUUAUGAGUGCCACAGGGGUUAGCUUUGGGUCCUUUAUAAUUUCCUGAUCCAUAGUUUCCCAGAUGAAUCUUCUGGGGCCAUCAAGUCCCAGAAUGCUUUGUGUCUGUAUGGAUCUAGGUCUUUCUGCCCUGGCUUAAACAUUACUAUCCAAAGAGCUUCACAUUUGGAUAUGUUAUGUCUGAGCAGUCAAUUCUCAAAGACACAACCAUGACAACUUGGUGGUACUGGGAUUUCACCCCAAAAACCUCCAAACACGAACAUAAAGCAUUAACCCUGGGUCACCACUUCAGUGGUUACAGAGUAUGUAGUCUUCACCGUGAGACCACAGCAGUACCUGGCUCUGCCCAGGCUGGGGACCCUGUGUCCACCAAGGAUCAUCCUAGUCUGGACCUCAAGAAUCCAGCAAAUGAUCCAGCUACUUGAUCGUAUUCCCAAUAGUCUCUGGCUCUAGUCUCUGAGAGUGAUCCUGCUGAUGGCUCAGUUUCUCACCCAGCCUGUCUGUAGACCACGACUCCUCUGGUAACCAGACUCCUCCUGCCUCAACAAGCUCAAUCUGUCUGACUCACAAAGUCACUUAGGACUGAUUUAUACUUACAUGAGCACGUAUCUGAAAAGACUUUCUUUUCUAAUAAUGUCAUGUACAGCUUCUGUGUAUCUUGUUUUGAUCGCCAAUAUUUCAGAACAAACCCACUUUUGUGUGAUAAGAACAUAGUUAUUGUACUUGUGUGUACAUUGUUGACUUUAAAGUAGUCAAUCCUCUAGGAAUAUCACAGAAAAAAGCACAAGAUUACAGCAAUUUUUUGGACUUUGGAAUAUCCCAAUAGACUCAAUUACACAUCUGAGAAAGGGCAAAACAUCUUUGUCAAUAACUUUAAAAAAUGUAGUUUGUAGUUCUGCCACAUUCGGCGAUUAUACAUCAGAAUACACCCAGUGGUGUGUGAUAAGAGUGUAGCUACUGCACUUGCUCUGUAUGCUGAUGACGUUUAAAGUAGUAAAUUCCCUGGGAACAUCACAUAAAACAUCACAAGAUUUCAGCAGUUUACAAGGUGAAAGGUGAUUUUAAAUGGGCUCUCCUAGAUUAGAUUGAAUCUGAACAGGUGCACCAGGAGAGUUCAGUCCCUAAAGAAUAAACUCUUCAGGCUAUAGACAACAUGAGCCCUAUAUAUUAUAAAAGUUACAUUCAAGGUUGUUGUGUUCAGAUGUAGUUCUGUAUGAGGGACUGUGAAAGCCCUUCACAUUGUCAAAUGUUUGACAUUGUAGUUAAUAUAUAUAUAUUUAUAUAUAAUAUAAUAUAUAAUAUAUAUAUAUUUCUCUAUACUAUGCAUUAACACUAAAGUUCUGAGCUGUGUUUCCAUGCUUCCUGUUUCAUAGUCCCUCAGGCCCUGUUCCUAGUUUUAGUCACAUUACUUAUUCUUAGUUUGUUAUCUGCUUUGGACAUUAGCCUGUUUGUUUUGUGUGUAAUUAAUAUAAUCUGGCCCCUGGUUAUUAUGUCUGGUUGUGCGUCUGACCACAAUUAUCAGAAAUGCUACCAGUUAGUCCAAUAAUUGCACAGUAAGUGUGUGUGUGUGUGUGUACCUGGAUGAAACCCCACCACAAGGUCUGGUUUGGCUGCCUCUCCUUUCUCCACAAGCUCCUCCCAGAAUUCAUGGUACAGACCCUUAUAGGCGCUGAUGUAGACCCUUCCUCGUGGACCAAAUGCCCUUAAUGGAGGCCUCACGAUGGGCCCCGGCACCACAUCUGUCCCCACCAUGACCACCUCCAGGCCCUGAUGUCCAGGAAACAUACGACUCAGCUCAUCCAGAUCUGUUGUCCUUGCACCCAGGGUCUCAGUGUUGCCUGCCCCAACGACGUGGAUGGUCAGAGGUCGGGAAUACGGAUUCAGACCGAACAUCUUCAUUGCCAUUCCGAUAGUCAGUGGACGUGAGAGGAACUCGCUACACACGCGCCACACAGAUUCACGAAGCUCCGCCUCAUCUGGACAUGGCCGGCAGGCGUUGGUCCAGAGGUCUGUCAUGUUCUUCCCAGACAGGAUCGGGUCCAUCCGGGCUGUGAGGUCGUCCUGCAUGGAGAGCCAAUCAUCCCAGCACCGGACCUCUUUAGCAGGUUUAGACCACGCCUCUGUAGGGAAAGGCAGGUCCCCUAUUGGGUGGAGCCAUCACCAGGCUGAGUGCUGAGUGCUAUGGGCGUGGCACUUCAUGGAAUUGGACUAUAAAAGCUUGUGGACUACCUUUCUCCUUUUUCUGUAUUUAGUUGAUCUGUUUAUAUAAUACUAUAUGUUAGAGAAACUGUGUAGCUGUUGAAUAUGGACUGAGUUGGUCUGUUUCUCUCGUGUAUCUAUUGUCUAUGGUCACCACUGCUGGAAGGGGGUAAGUGCCAUUUCAUUUCUCACCAAUUUGCCCCUGGUUUUGUGUUAGAUAGGGAAUAGAGAUUCUUUUCUGUGGUUUUAUUUAGUUUGUUAGGGAAGGCAGGUUUAUUUGUGGAGUUAGUGUUGGGUUUUAUUUAUUAUUUUGGCCUUGCGUUCCCCUGGAGAAAUGGCUUCCUAUUUGUGUCAAUGUGGUGACAUGAACAUAUUCAUUCUUCUGUCAAAUUUCUGGGUGUUUGUGUUCCCUUCCUCUUGUGCAGUAUUACACCUAGCAUGUAGCAUCUACACACCCUUAUUAAAAUUGGGAGUUUUUUUGUAAUGUGAAAACUUUUUCCACCUUUAAUGUGAUAUAGCAUCCAAUAAGUCAAAAAGAACUAAAAAUCCGUCCAUCCAUCCAUCUUCUAUACUGCUUAUCCUACAGGGUCGCGGGGAACCUGGAGCCUAUCCCAGGGAGCAUGGGGGAUGGGAUGGGGUACACCCUGGACAGGGUGCCAAUCCAUCGCAGGUAACAAUCUCAUACACACUCACACACCCAUUCAUACACUACGGACACUUUGGACACGCCAAUCAGACAACCAUGCAUGUCUUUGGACUGGGGGAGGAAACCGGAGAACAUGCAAAAGAAUUAAAUAUGUUUCAGGGGGAAAAAAAGAAUAAGAAAAAUGCUUAAUCAGUACUUAAUCAAUCAAUUAAUCAGUCUUAAUCAAUCAAAGAAUAAUCAUUUCAUAUAACCAAGGUAUAAAGUGUAUCAGUGUCAAACUAAUCAAAAUAAGCACGUUAUAGUUAUAAUAAACCUUUUAUUUCACUAAUACUUAUGAUGAAACGGUCAUUAAACAAUGAUCAGUAUAUGUUCAUGUUGAUUUUGUGUUGAAGUAUUAUCUUUUGUAUAAUUUUUUUGUUUUAAAUAAGCUGGCUGUGCUCACGCCACCAUUAGAAAGUUAUAGUGGAAUAUUCCAGAGCUAGAAACAAUAGUGGUGACCGAAUAAAGAUUGACCAAAAGAAGAACGGGGAAAGUUCUGUCUGACGAGAUAAAGUUCAGAACUGUAUAAAAAGCCUGUGCUGGAUAUGUAUGAUUGGAUGCUCUGCAGACCGUGAUGUUUUUGUCUUGAAUUAAUAAAGUCUACUUUUUUUUGACA